rnacentral:rRNA from 1 species
GAUGAACGCUGGCGGCGUGCUUAACACAUGCAAGUCGAACGUGAGAGGGUAGCAAUAUCCUUGAAGGUGGCGCACGGGUGAGUAAUACGUAGGUAACCUGCCCUGGAGUGGGGGAUAACAACUGGAAACGGUUGCUAACACCGCAUAAUACCGGACACGAGGGAUUGUGACUGGUAAAAACUCUGGUGCUUCAGGAGGGGCCUGCGGCCGAUUAGCUAGUUGGCGGGGUAAGAGCCCACCAAGGCAGUGAUCGGUAGCUGGUCUGAGGGGACGAUCAGCCACACGGGAACUGAGACACGGUCCCGACUCCUACGGGGGGCAGCAGUGAGGAAUAUUGGGCAAUGGGCGGAAGCCUGACCCAGCAACGCCGCGUGGAGGAAGACGGCCUUCGGGUUGUAAACUCCUUUUACGGGGGAAGAGGAAGGACGGUACCCCGAGAAUAAGUCACGGCUAACUACGUGCCAGCAGCCGCAGUAAUAC